GCCAAGUAUACAUACAAUGAAUUGCCAAAUUUGACAUAUUAACUCCCUACUUCUUUCUGAUAAACUAGAUAAAUCUCUCCCAACAUCCAGUUAUACCCUUGAGGGAUACCAUAAAUGUUGUGCGUGAGAAUAAAGUUUGACUAAUGUACCACUAAUGAAGUUCACAGGAUUUGGGCCUACUUAGAAGCCAAGGAAUACGACUCAAAUUUUUCAUCUGAUGAUUCCGCACAAAAUCCAAUAGUGACUUGCAAACCUUCAGAGAUCAGCAUCGUACCAGUUAAGAAAAUAAUGUGUUCCAUUUCUGUACAACUCAAGAGUAUUCAAGGGUCCAAAUCACCUUUGGUGAUUUAUCAAUGGUUUUUUUAACUAACCCUGCUUUGCCAGCGCAGCAACUGAACCACAAAAUCACUUACUUUGUGGGGCGACAUAAAAUACCACGCAGACAUGGAAUACCUUUUUAUAAGCUUCAGGAUGGCUACCCCAGCUCCUGGCCUCAGGCUCCCACAAGGGUGGAGUGUCUGUUCUGGAGAUGGCUUCAUUGAGGGAUGCUGUUUCUUAGAACAUUCUGUCCAAAAGAGAGUA
rnacentral:lncRNA from 1 species